AUGCAGCUCCGCCUCUCUCCGCCGGCGGGGGCGCCCUUCCAACCCGGGCUGCUGCCGCGUGCUCUCGUCAAAGGUCCAUGCCGUUUGCGCGGCAAAGGAGAUGCCGGCGGCACGCGCGUCGCUCGACGGACCAGCAGCGUAUCCAGUAGCAAAGUACCUGCACGGCUGCAAGCGAACCCUACCGGGAACGACGUCCAGAUUCUAGAACGGCCCGAAGAGGAAGCACGCUACGUCGACGAGUACCAUGUGAUUCCUGGGACAGAGCUCGAGCAGCCGCUGAUCGACCAGGUGAAGGCGAUGCUCGGGUCGAUGGGCGACGGCGAGAUCAGCGUGUCAGCGUACGACACGGCCUGGGUGGCCCUGGUGCCGAGGCUCGACGGCGGCGACGGGGCCCAGUUCGCCGCAGCCCUCCGGUGGAUCCUCGGGAACCAGCUGCCCGACGGGUCCUGGGGCGACGCGGCCCUCUUCUCCGCCUACGACCGGAUCACCAACACCCUCGCCUGCGUCGUGGCUCUCACCAAGUGGUCGCUCGGCCCCGAAAACUGCAGGAGAGGGCUGAGUUUUCUGGAGGACAACAUGUGGAGGCUGGCCGAGGAGGACUCGGAGUCGAUGCCCAUCGGCUUCGAGAUCGCCUUCCCUUCUCUCCUGGAGGCGGCCAGGAGGCUGGACGUUGUCUUCCCGUAUGACCACCAUGCUCUGCAGCGCAUAUAUGCCAACAGAGAAGUGAAGCUCAAAAAGAUUCCGAUGGAGAUGAUGCACAGCAUUCCGACGACGAUCCUGCAUUCCCUUGAAGGGAUGCCCGGGGUGGACUGGCGCAAGAUCCUCAGGCUCCAGUCCAGCGACGGGUCCUUCCUGUUUUCUCCGGCGGCUACAGCCUCUGCCCUCAUGCAGACCGGUGACACAAAAUGCUUCGAGUAUAUAGACAGGAUCGUGAAGAAGUUCGACGGAGGGGUUCCCAAUGUUUACCCGGUCGAUCUCUUCGAGCACAUCUGGGCCGUCGAUCGGCUGGAGCGUCUUGGGAUCUCGCGCUACUUCAAGCAAGAAAUCAAACAGUGCUUGGACUAUGUCCACAGGCACUGGACUGAGGGCGGGAUAUGCUGGGCGAGGAACUCUGCUGUAGUAGACGUGGACGACACAGCCAUGGCGUUCCGGCUGCUGCGGCUGCACCGAUACAACGUCUCCCCACGUGUGUUCGAGAACUUUGAGAAGGAUGGGGACUUCUUCUGUUUCGUGGGGCAAUCAACACAGGCGGUCACUGGGAUGUACAACCUGAACAGGGCUUCUCAGGUUAGAUUUCCCGGAGAGGACGUGCUGCAGCGUGCAGGGAGAUUCUCCUAUGAGUUCCUUAGAGAAAGGGAGGCCCAGGACACGAUCCGAGACAAAUGGAUCAUUUCAAAGGAUCUCCCAGGCGAGGUACAAUAUACACUGGACUUUCCUUGGUAUGCAAGCUUGCCGCGUGUAGAAGCAAGAAUCUACCUAGAUCAAUAUGGCGGUGAUGAUGAUGUCUGGAUUGGGAAGACGCUCUACAGGAUGCCACUUGUGAACAACAACACCUAUCUCGAGCUGGCAAAGCGUGAUUUCAAUCGCUGCCAAGUCCAACAUCAGCUUGAGUGGCAUGGCCUACAAAAGUGGUUUACAGAGAAUGGCCUCGAGGCUUUUGGGGUGGCUCCAAGAGAUGUAUUGAGAGCUUAUUUUCUAGCCGCUGCUUGCAUUUUUGAACCAAGUCGUGCCACAGAGCGACUUGCAUGGUCCAGAGCAUCAGUGAUGGCCAACAUUAUCUCUAAAUAUCUUCGUAGCGAUUUGUCGGGUAAUAAAAUGGUGGAACGGUUUAUGCAUGGUGGCCUCUAUGAAGGAAAUAAUGAUGUAUCAUGGCUUAAAGGAGAUGCAAAAGUGGAAAUUCUUGUGGGCGCACUUGAGAAGCUUAUUGAUUUAUUGGCACAAAAGGCGCUACAUGUUGGUGAAGAACCCAUGCACAUCAAUAAUUUGUUACGUUGCGUUUGGAUCGAAUGGAUGAUGCAAGAGAUAAAUAGAGAUGAUGGCACAAACGGUAUGAGUGUUAUUGAAGCAGGGUCAUGCAUGGUUCAUGACAAACAAACAUCUUUGCUUCUAGUUAAAAUUAUCGAGAUUUGUGCUGGACGAAUUGGUGAAGCAUCAUCUAUGGUAAAUAGCAAGGACAAUACUUGGUUUAUUCAACUUGCAUCCUCUAUCUGUGACAGCCUUCACCACAGGAUGUUACUUUCACAGGACACCGAGGAGAACAAGGCAGUAACAAGUCACAUGGACAAGAAAAUUGAGGUGGACAUGCAAGAACUUGCCCAAAAUAUUCUUCAGACAUAUGAUGAUAUAUCAAGUAACAACAUGAAGCAAACCUUCUGGAGUGUUGUGAAAAGUUGUUACUAUGUUGCUAAUUGCCCUUCCUACAUACUUGAUAGACAUGUUUCGAAAGUUAUUUUUGAACAUGUCUUUUGA
rnacentral:rRNA from 1 species